AGUGAACGCUGGCGGCGUGCUUAACACAUGCAAGUCGAACGAGAACGGGCUAUAGCUUGCUAUAGUUGUCAGCUAAGUGGCGCACGGGUGAGUAAUGUAUAGGUAACCUGCGCUUAAGAAAGGAAUAACAGUUGGAAACGACUGCUAAUGCCCUAUAUGCCUUUAAUACAUAAGUAUGCAAGGGAAACGCUUUAGUGCUUAAGGAUGGGUCUGUAUGGUAUCAGCUUGUUGGUGAGGUCAUGGCUCACCAAGGCUAUGACGCCUAACUGGUUUGAGAGGAUGAUCAGUCACACUGGAACUGAGACACGGUCCAGACUCCUACGGGAGGCAGCAGUGGGGAAUAUUGCACAAUGGACGAAAGUCUGAUGCAGCAACGCCGCGUGGAGGAUGACACAUUUCGGUGCGUAAACUCCUUUUAUAUAGGAAGAUAAUGACGGUACUAUAUGAAUAAGCACCGGCUAACUCCGUGCCAGCAGCCGCCGUAA
rnacentral:rRNA from 1 species